rnacentral:sRNA from 1 species
UGAAGUCUGAUGCACCCCGACAACUGU